CACAGAAUUCCACACAGAGUUCCUCACAGAAUUCCACACAGAAUUCUCCACAGAACUCUCCACAGAAUUCUCUACUCAAAGACACAUAAACCAAGAAUCUUUAAGGGUCGACAGUUUGACAAAAUAAAAAACAACCUCAUAUAUGAUGCACCACUUGUAUAUCUGGUGCUGCUUAUGAUUGGUCUCUCAGGAUGGUGUUGGUGUGAGACUCUGAACGCUGGUGGAUCUGAUUUGCUGCAUGAAGCUGAAGAUUCCCAGAGGAACGAGGGAUUAAAGAGCGAGAGAAUCAAAGAGCAGAGACAGGGAACAGCUUUAUUCUGAGAAGAGAUGCGUUAAUCUCCACAUCAGCGUCUCCAUGGCUACAGCGAGUGCUCCUGUAUACUCACAUACACACACACCUACACACACAAUCCUGUAUGUAACCCUCAGACACAAACACACACCUGAAUAUGACCCCCCACUCAUCCACCCACCCACCCGCACACUGAAUGUUGGUGUGCAGCAGGAGCCAAUCAGACUGAAUUUCCAUAUCUUUUAGCCAACAAUGCCAACAAAGCUAAGAACACUUAUAAGGUUAAAAGUCAUACGAGUUCAGUGUAAGGAACAUUUCUGACCUCAGCUUGUGAACAGGUGAAUGGCCGAGAGAUCUGACGGUCUGAGAGCUAAGCGCCUGCGUUCAUGGGGUGGAGCUUUGUGUUCGUGAGCAGGUCCAAGUAUCAGAUCCUACUCCAUUAAACUUACACAACUGACCUGACUGAAGUAUUUUUAAAGCUAAAACAAAAAAAAAACUGUCCAGGGAGCUACAGAGGAGAAGGAAGCAGUCCUGAGAAAAAAGCCUGAUGAUUCACAAACUGCUGUAAAUAUAAAUCCAGCCAGUAAACUGAACCUUCAAUUCUGAUAAACCAUUAAAUCAGCUGCAGAAUGUGAGGAGGCUGCAGAACUGAUAAAUUCACAUCGACUCACCUCCAAACAUCUCUGAGCUGGAGAGCGAGGAGCGAGAGAGAAGCCUCCGGAGUCGAGGGUUUACUCCAACGCCAAAAUCACAUCGUAUCAUAUCAGACGCUUCGCUUCACUCGACUGACCUCAAAACUCUACACCAGAAAUCAGAACUUGUACAGAGUUAAAAAUUUCUCACGCAACGCAACGGCUUCCGAAUGUAGCUGAGUUUCUCCCAGGAGUUGGAAUGCUAAUGUAGCUAACAAGUUACUGAAGUAUAUAGCAUCCUGGAAUCUGUUUUUUUACAUCACAUACUCAUGCUACAGAACCCUACAGGCUGGGAGAUACGACACAAAUAUCAUAUCGUGAUACUUUUUCUAUGAUACACAAUAAAAAACUAUUAUUA